rnacentral:rRNA from 1 species
AGGGUUCGAUUAUGGCUCAGAACGUACGCUGGCGGCACGCCUAACACAUGCAAGUCGAACGAAGUACCAAUACUUAGUGGCAGACGGGUGAGUAACAUGUAGGUAUCUGCCCUUUGGCCUGGAAUAACACGAGGAAACUUGUGCUAAUACCGGAUAAGUCUUUACGGAGAAAGCUUUAUGCACCAUUGGAUGAGCCUGCACUUGAUUAGUUUGUUGGUGGGGUAAUGGCCUACCAAGACUGUGAUCAAUAGCUGAUUUGAGAGGAUGAUCGGCCACAUUGGGACUGAGACACGGCCCAAACUCCUACGGGAGGCAGCAGUGGGGAAUCUUGCACAAUGGAGGAAACUCUGAUGCAGCGAUGCCGCGUGAGUGAAGAAGGCCCCUGGGUUGUAAAGCUCUUUCGUCGGGGAAGAAAAUGACUGUACCCGAAUAAGAAGGUCCGGCUAACUUCGUGCCAGCAGCCGCGGUAAUACA